GUGGACGCCAGUCUGCAUGGAGCCGACCUUGAAAUACCACCCUUUAAUGUUUGAUGUUCUAACGUGGACCCGUUACCCGGGUUGCGGACAGUGUCUGGUGGGUAGUUUGACUGGGGCGGUCUCCUCCUAAAGAGUAACGGAGGAGCACGAAGGUUGGCUAAUCCUGGUCGGACAUCAGGAGGUUAGUGCAAUGGCAUAAGCCAGCUUGACUGCGAGCGUGACGGCGCGAGCAGGUGCGAAAGCAGGUCAUAGUGAUCCGGUGGUUCUGAAUGGAAGGGCCAUCGCUCAACGGAUAAAAGGUACUCCGGGGAUAACAGGCUGAUACCGCCCAAGAGUUCAUAUCGACGGCGGUGUUUGGCACCUCGAUGUCGGCUCAUCACAUCCUGGGGCUGAAGUAGGUCCCAAGGGUAUGGCUGUUCGCCAUUUAAAGUGGUACGCGAGCUGGGUUUAGAACGUCGUGAGACAGUUCGGUCCCUAUCUGCCGUGGGCGCUGGAGAACUGAGGGGGGCUGCUCCUAGUACGAGAGGACCGGAGUGGACGCAUCACUGGUGUUCGGGUUGUCAUGCCAAUGGCACUGCCCGGUAGCUAAAUGCGGAAGAGAUAAGUGCUGAAAGCAUCUAAGCACGAAACUUGCCCCGAG
rnacentral:rRNA from 5 species